CGCCCGUCACCUUUGCCUAGGACGAUAGUUCGAAAGCCGCCCAGUUGCGGCGGUUACGAAUAUCUACGAGGUUGAGCAAGUCGUAACAUAGUGAGGGAGGGGGAACCUUCCCUUG
rnacentral:rRNA from 1 species